rnacentral:rRNA from 1 species
GUUUGAUCAUGGCUCAGGACGAACGCUGGCGGCGUGCUUAACACAUGCAAGUCGAACGAGAAUCUGUGGAAAGAGGAUUCGUCCAAUUGAAGCAGAGGACAGUGGCGGACGGGUGAGUAACGCGUGAGGAACCUGCCUUUCAGAGGGGGACAACAGUUGGAAACGACUGCUAAUACCGCAUGACACAUAGGUGUCGCAUGGCACUUAUGUCAAAGAUUUAUCGCUGAAAGAUGGCCUCGCGUCUGAUUAGCUAGUUGGUGAGGUAACGGCCCACCAAGGCGACGAUCAGUAGCCGGGCUGAGAGGUUGAACGGCCACAUUGGGACUGAGAUACGGCCCAGACUCCUACGGGAGGCAGCAGUGGGGAAUAUUGGGCAAUGGGCGCAAGCCUGACCCAGCAACGCCGCGUGAAGGAAGAAGGCUUUCGGGUUGUAAACUUCUUUUGUCAGGGACGAGUAGAAGACGGUACCUGACGAAUAAGCCACGGCUAACUACGUGCCAGCAGCCGCGGUAAUACGUAGGUGGCAAGCGUUGUCCGGAUUUACUGGGUGUAAAGGGCGUGUAGCCGGGAGGGCAAGUCAGAUGUGAAAUCCACGGGCUCAACUCGUGAACUGCAUUUGAAACUACUCUUCUUGAGUAUCGGAGAGGCAAUCGGAAUUCCUAGUGUAGCGGUGAAAUGCGUAGAUAUUAGGAGGAACACCAGUGGCGAAGGCGGCCUACUGGGCACCAACUGACGCUGAGGCUCGAAAGUGUGGGUAGCAAACAGGAUUAGAUACCCUGGUAGUCCACACCGUAAACGAUGAUUACUAGGUGUUGGAGGAUUGACCCCUUCAGUGCCGCAGUUAACACAAUAAGUAAUCCACCUGGGGAGUACGACCGCAAGGUUGAAACUCAAAGGAAUCGACGGGGGCCCGCACAAGCAGUGGAGUAUGUGGUUUAAUUCGACGCAACGCGAAGAACCUUACCAAGUCUUGACAUCCUGCGACGGACAUAGAAAUAUGUUUUUCCUUCGGGACGCAGAGACAGGUGGUGCAUGGUUGUCGUCAGCUCGUGUCGUGAGAUGUUGGGUUAAGUCCCGCAACGAGCGCAACCCUUAUGGUCAGUUACUACGCAAGAGGACUCUGGCCAGACUGCCGUUGACAAAACGGAGGAAGGUGGGGAUGACGUCAAAUCAUCAUGCCCUUUAUGACUUGGGCUACACACGUACUACAAUGGCGUUAAACAAAGAGAAGCAAGACCGCGAGGUGGAGCAAAACUCAGAAACAACGUCCCAGUUCGGACUGCAGGCUGCAACUCGCCUGCACGAAGUCGGAAUUGCUAGUAAUCGUGGAUCAGCAUGCCACGGUGAAUACGUUCCCGGGCCUUGUACACACCGCCCGUCACACCAUGAGAGCCGGGGGGACCCGAAGUCGGUAGUCUAACCGCAAGGAGGACGCCGCCGAAGGUAAAACUGGUGAUUGGGGUGAAGUCGUAACAAGGUACCC